GCCGUAGGGCGCGAGCGUUGUCCGGAUUUAUUGGGCGUAAAGAGCUCGUAGGCGGCUUGUCGCGUCGUUCGUGAAAACCUGCAGCUCAACUGCAGGCUUGCGGUCGAUACGGGCAGGCUAGAGUUCGGUAGGGGAGACUGGAAUUCCUGGUGUAGCGGUGAAAUGCGCAGAUAUCAGGAGGAACACCGGUGGCGAAGGCGGAUCUCUGGGCCAUUACUGACGCUGAGGAGCGAAAGCGUGGGGAGCGAACAGG
rnacentral:rRNA from 1 species